AGGGGAGUAGCUCAAUUGGUAGAGCACCGGUCUCCAAAACCGGGGGUUGCAGGUUCGAGUCCUGUCUCCCCUG
rnacentral:tRNA from 1 species